UUAGAACUGCCUAUAAAAUGGGGAGGGAAGAAUGUUUUAUUUACACAACUAGAGGAAGGAAAUGAAUGAUGCCCAAAAAGAAGGCAUUUCUUAUAGCUUGCAUUCUCUUGCUUUUCAGUCUGGCUAUUUUCACUGCACCUGCCUCAGCUCGACCACUAGUUGCCCUAAGUGAGGUUUUUGGUUUUUGGCUAAGCAAACAUUUUAUUAUUAGACCUAAACAGUGACCAAAAGUGGGGGUGAAAUAGCAGAAAUUCCCUGCGGCCCCUAAAUUCUCCCUCAUCCACAAGGAAACUACAACUAUAAAAGCAGUCUCUUUCAUAUUUUUAACAGAAACAGAUUACCAGUGGAAUAAAAAACAUGAUUAAAUCCAAACUCAUGUAGAGCUAUACUUGAAGAGACGGCCAUCACACAAACAUCUUCAACAAAGGUGGGUAGGAUGUUUUGCUAAAAUCAUUAUUCUCGAUUCUCUUCAUUUUUGAUGUUUUAUAUUUGAUUAUAACCUAUCUGUUUUUUCUUUUCA